rnacentral:rRNA from 1 species
AGAGUUUGAUCAUGGCUCAGAGUGAACGCUGGCGGUAGGCCUAACACAUGCAAGUCGAACGGCAGCACAGAGGAGCUUGCUCCUUGGGUGGCGAGUGGCGGACAGGUGAGGAAUACAUCGGAAUCUACUCUGUCGUGGGGGAUAACGUAGGGAAACUUACGCUAAUACCGCAUACGACCUACGGGUGAAAGCAGGGGAUCUUCGGACCUUGCGCGAUUGAAUGAGCCGAUGUCGGAUUAGCUAGUUGGCGGGGUAAAGGCCCACCAAGGCGACGAUCCGUAGCUGGUCUGAGAGGAUGAUCGGCCACACUGGAACUGAGACACGGUCCAGACUCCUACGGGAGGCAGCAGUGGGGAAUAUUGGACAAUGGGCGCAAGCCUGAUCCAGCCAUACCGCGUGGGUGAAGAAGGCCUUCGGGUUGUAAAGCCCUUUUGUUGGGAAAGAAAUCCAGCCGGCUAAUACCUGGUUGGGAUGACGGUACCCAAAGAAUAAGCACCGGCUAACUUCGUGCCAGCAGCCGCGGUAAUACGAAGGGUGCAAGCGUUACUCGGAAUUACUGGGCGUAAAGCGUGCGUAGGUGGUUAUUUAAGUCCGUUGUGAAAGCCCUGGGCUCAACCUGGGAACUGCAGUGGAUACUGGAUGACUAGAAUGUGGUAGAGGGUAGCGGAAUUCCUGGUGUAGCAGUGAAAUGCGUAGAGAUCAGGAGGAACAUCCAUGGCGAAGGCAGCUACCUGGACCAACAUUGACACUGAGGCACGAAAGCGUGGGGAGCAAACAGGAUUAGAUACCCUGGUAGUCC